AAGGUUUUAGCUUAGUAAAAGUAUCUGAUUUGCAUUCAGAAGAUGCAGGUUAAUGUCUUGCAUGUCUCG
rnacentral:tRNA from 1 species